GGUAUAACCCGGAUUGGCUUAAUCUGGACCCUGGAUUGGCUUAAUCCGGACCCGAGCACGAUAUGACCCGGAUAUGGUCCCGGACCCAGGAGAUGAUCUCAGAACCAGGAGACGAUCCCGAACCUUGGAGAUGAUCUCGGACCUUGGAGAUGAUCCAAGACCCAGACGCAACCUAUCCAUCCUUCCCCCGGACCGGGACACAAGAGUCCAAGCCGACACCUGAACAAGUUGCAGUCUGACAUGACAAGGACAAUACCCAAUGCCAGCUACUGACACUAUGAAGACAAACCUCAUAACACUCCAAAAUACUAUUCCUUAGCUGACACCUGGACAGGUGUUAAGCAUCCAAGCCCUACAGAUGGACAGCAGGAUCCAAGGUACACAUCCUUAAACCCUAAUCCUUGGCCUAUAAAUAGACCAAGGAUGAGAGGCUUAAGGAUCUUCUUCUCCACACUCUCAUAUUUCUCAUACACUCUAAGCCACCACAAACAGCAUCCAUACACCUUCACCCACCACACAUAGAUAGCUCAUUUCCCGUCUAUAUAUUUUCCGACGCCUGUACUCAUUCUCACGCCGGAGGCGCCGCGGGGCUCAAACCCCCCUCCGGUGUUGUUUUGCAGACACCCGUCCAGCAGCUACACCGCAAGACACCGGUACACGGCGGAGGAAGCACCAGAACGGGAUUUGGCGUUAUCAUUUGGCGCUAGAAGGAGGGGGAGGUUGUAUUCUCCGUCCUGUGGUCACGGUGCCACUGGACUCAUCUUCAUCAGCAAACUCCCGAAAAGGGAGUCCCGAUUCAACCCUGUAAGCUUCAAAAUGCACUCAAAUCUCUCAAAACCCUCUCAGCCAUGAUUCUCUUUGUUGUGUGCAUGUUAGCAAACCCUGUCUAGAAGCACCCUAACUUUGUCUGUAGUACAUCAAGACACCUUGUCCUGUAGUCCCUUACACCUUUGUCAUUUAACUAUUUCUAGCAUUUCUUGAAGUAGUAAGUUGACUAUCUGCUUACACUAUUUCUAUCAUUCCACUACUGUCUAUACUGCACACAUACACUUUCUCCAAAAAGCAAGCAUACUCCCUGGGUAGUUCUUGUUUGAGUUGUUCACUAUAAUCAUGACAAGGGGUGGAAAAACCCAAACCCAAUCAACCCGAUCCGAGCAGUUCAACCCGGUGGACCAGGACAAUCCACAUCAGGAUCUCAUCUCUAAACCACUCUUGACCGGGAUCAAUCCAGAAGAGACCCGGAUCAACCUAGACGAUGCCCGGGUCACAAUUGAAAUGAACCAGUUAAAGUGCAUCGAUGUCCCGGUGACCGCAGACCAUGUUACAUAUCUAACCAACAUAGAGUUGGCCGAAGCAAUCCGGUUAUACCAGGAACAACGAGCCGAGAACCUCAAAGGACCCAGGUUGAUUCCUGAUUCUGAAGACUUUGAAAAUUCCCGCCAAUCCCGGGGUUCCGUCUUUGACCGGAUUGGUGACAAAGUAAGGAAAAAGAAGCAGAGAGAAAGUGAUGCCACAAGGCGAAAGAUCCUGGCCAAAAAAAAAGAACACAUCCGGAGAGAAGAAGAAGAAAAGCUAGAGCAAAAAAUUCAAAGAAGGAUCCAGUUAUAAGAAGAAAGGCUCAUGAGCAAGUCCCGCUCCAAACGAUCUAGGAAUGAGCCAACCCAAGAGCUGAUCUAAGACCAUGAGAAUAACGAGUAUCAGACCAAUCUAUGGGACAUGAUCCAUGAGCUGUAGAAGAAAGUUAGAAGGGACUCCGGGUACGGGAGUAUGAUAAUGAGGCACUCUCGGCUUAUAUGAGAUGUCUUCAAGAAGCAAUCAGCAAGAAGUUUUUCUAAGCAACCAUACUAGUCCUGACUUAGAUGAGUCCGGACUACGCAAUCAUACUAGCCCUGAUUCAAUAAUGAGUCCGGACCAAGCAAUCAUACUUGGAAAAAAAUUUCUAAGACAAACAACCAAAAGCUACCCGGGUUCACUUUUCAGUUAUCUCUUACUUAGAAAAAUUUUUCGAAAAUUUUUCUAAGGCAAACAAACAAAAAGCUACCCCGGUCCAGUUAUAACAUAUCUCUUACUUGGAAAAAUUAUUUUCCAAGGCAAACAAACAAAAAGCUACCCGGGUUCAAUCAUGAUCUAUCUCUUACUUGGAAAAAUUUUCCAAGGCAAAAAGCAAAAGCUACCCCGGUUCAAUUUUGAGAACCCGAGUACCCCGGUUCAAUCAUGAGCUAUCUUACUUGGAAAAAAUUUUCUAAGGCAAACAAACAAAAAGCUACCCCGGUCCAGUUAUGACCUAUCUCUUACUUAGAAAAAUUUUUCGAAAAAUUUUUGAAGGCAAAAAAGCAAAAGCUACCCCGGUCCAGUUAUGACCUAUCUCUUACUUAGAAAAAUUUUUCGAAAAUUUUUUUAAGGCAAACAAACAAAAAGCUACCCCGGUCCAGUUAUGACAUAUCUCUUACUUGGAAUUUUUUUUUUCCAAGGCAAACAAACAAAAAGCUACCCCGGUCCAGUUAUGACAUAUCUCUUACUUGGAAUUUUUUUUUUCCAAGGCAAACAAACAAAAAGCUACCCCGGUCCAGUUAUGACAUAUCUCUUACUUGGAAUUUUUUUUUUCCAAGGCAAACAAACAAAAAGCUACCCGGGUUCAAUCAUGAUCUAUCUCUUACUUGGAAAAAUUUUCCAAGGCAAAAAACAAAAGCUACCCCGGUUCAAUUUUGAGAACCCGAGUACCCCGGUUCAAUCAUGAGCUAUCUUACUUGGAAAAAAUUUUUUCCAAGGCAAACAAACAAAAAGCUACCCGGGUUCAAUCAUGCUCUAUCUCUUACUUGGAAAAAUUAUUUUCCAAGGCAAACAAACAAAAAGCUACCCGGGUUUAAUCAUGACCUAUCUCUUACUUAGAAAAAAUUUUCGAAAAAUUUUUGAAGGCAAAAAAGCAAAAGCUACCCCGGUCCAGUUAUGACCUAUCUCUUACUUAUAAAAAUUUUUCGAAAAUUUUUCUAAGGCAAACAAACAAAAAGCUACCCCAGUCCAGUUAUGACAUAUCUCUUACUUGGAAAAAUUAUUUUCCAAGGCAAACAAACAAAAAGCUACCCGGGUUCAAUCAUGAUCUAUCUCUUACUUGGAAAAAUUUUCCAAGGCAAAAAGCAAAAGCUACCCCGGUUCAAUUUUGAGAACCCGAGUACCCCGGUUCAAUCAUGAGUUAUCUUACUUGGAAAAAUUUUUCUAAGGCAAACAAACAAAAAGCUACCCCGGUCCAGUUAUGACCUAUCUCUUACUUGGAAAAAAUUUCCAAGGCAAAAAACAAAAGCUACCCCGGUUCAAUUUUGAGAACCCGAGUACCCCGGUUCAAUCAUGAGUUAUCUUACUUGGAAAAAUUUUUCUAAGGCAAACAAACAAAAAGCUACCCCGGUCCAAUUAUGACCUAUCUCUUACUUAGAAAAAUUUUCUAAGGUAAAAAAGCAAAAGCUACCCCGGUUCAAUUUUGAGUACCCCGGUUCAAUCAUGAGCUAUCUUACUUGGAAAAAUUUUUCUAAGGCAAAAAAAAUAAAAAAAAAAAAAAAGCAAUCACCCGGACUCAUGUCAAGCAAUCCCGUCCGGACACAUGUGGAGCAAUCCCGUCCGGACUCAUGCCGAGCAAUCUAACCAGACUCACCUCUUGUCCGGAUCAACCCAGGCCGAGGGACAAAAAGCAAAAUCUCACAUCCUACCCUGAUCAACCCAGACGGGGGGCAAAAAGCAGAAUCCCACCACUUCGUCUAGAUCGGUCCGGACAGGGGGGCAAAAGCAAAAUUUCACACCAUGUCUGGAUCCACCUGGAUAGGUGAGCAAGAUUUCACACCUAGUCCGGGUCAACCCGGGCAGAGAAGCAAAAGCAGGAUUCUUCGCCUAAUACCGGAUUAACCGGGCCACCUUGUCCAGGUUAGCCCGGACAGGGGGGCAAAUGAAAAAUUCCACCUUCUCCGCAAUCAGCUCGGACUAGACAAUACACUCAACUCCCUCACACAGAAAAUCUGUAUAAGGGAGUGGGGGGCAAAUGAUAGGGUAUAACCCGGAUUGGCUUAAUCUGGACCCUGGAUUGGCUUAAUCCGGACCCGAGCACGAUAUGACCCGGAGAUGAUCCCGGACCCAGGAGACGAUCCCGGACCCAGGAGAUGGUCCCGGACCCAAACACAACCUAUCCACUCUUCUCCCGGACCGGGACACAAGAGUCCAAGCCGACACCUGAACAAGCCACAUUCUAACAUGAAAAGGAUUGGCUUAACCCGGACUCUGGAUUGGCUUAAUCCGGACCCGAGCACGAUAUGACCCGGAUAUGGUCCCGGACCCAGGAGAUGAUCUCAGAACCAGGACACGAUCCCGAACCUUGGAGAUGAUCUCGGACCCUGGAGAUGAUCCAAGACCCAGACGCAACCUAUCCAUCCUUCCCCCGGACCGGGACACAAGAGUCCAAGCCGACACCUGAACAAGUUGCAGUCUGACAUGACAAGGACAAUACCCAAUGCCAGCUACUGACACUAUGAAGACAAACCUCAUAACACUCCAAAAUACUAUUCCUUAGCUGACACCUGGACAGGUGUUAAGCAUCCAAGCCCUACAGAUGGACAGCAGGAUCCAAGGUACACAUCCUUAAACCCUAAUCCUUGGCCUAUAAAUAGACCAAGGAUGAGAGGCUUAAGGAUCUUCUUCUCCACACUCUCAUAUUUCUCACACACUCUAAGCCACCAUACACAGCAGCCAUACACCUUCACCCACCACACAUAGAUAGCUCAUUUCCCGUCUAUAUAUUUUCCGACGCCUGUACUCAUUCUCACGCCGGAGGCGCCGCGGGGCUCAAACCCCCCUCCGGUGUUGUUUUGCAGACACCCGUCCAGCAGCUACACCGCAAGACACC
rnacentral:lncRNA from 1 species